UCUAGAGAGACUGCCAGGGAUAACCUGGAGGAAGGUGGGGAUGACGUCAAAUCAUCAUGCCCCUUAUGCUUAGGGCUACACACGUGCUACAAUGGGUAGUACAGAGGGUUGCCAAGCCGUAAGGUGGAGCUAAUCCCUUAAAGCUACUCCCAGUUCGGAUUGUAGGCUGAAACUCGCCUACAUGAAGCUGGAGUUACUAGUAAUCGCAGAUCAGAAUGCUGCGGUGAAUGCGUUCCCGGGUCUUGUACACACCGCCCGUCACACCACGGGAGUUGGAGACGCCCGAAGCCGAUUAUCUAACCUUUUGGAAGAAGUCGUCGAAGGUGGAAUCAAUAACUGGGGUGAAGUCGUAACAAGGUAGCCGUAUCGGAAGGUGCGGCUGGAUCACCUCCUUUCUAAGGAGA
rnacentral:rRNA from 1 species